GAUGAACGCUGGCGGCGUGCCUAAUACAUGCAAGUCGAGCGAACAGACGAGGAGCUUGCUCCUCUGACGUUAGCGGCGGACGGGUGAGUAACACGUGGAUAACCUACCUCUAAGAAUGGGAUAAAUUCGGGAAACCGGAGCUAAUACCGGAUAAUUUAUUGAACCGCAAGGUUCAAUAGUGAAAGUAGGUUUUGCUGUCACUAAUAGAUGGAUCCGCCCCGCAUUAGCUAGUUGGUAAGGUAACGGCUUACCAAGGCCACGAUGCGUAGCCGCCCUGAGAGGGAGAACAGCCACACUGGACCUGAGACACGGUCCAGACUCCUACGGAAGGCAGCAGUAGGCAAUCUUCCGCAAUGGGCGAAGGCCUGACGGAGCAACGCCGCGUGAGUGAUGAAGGUCUUCGGAUCGUAAAACUCUGUUAUUAGCGAAGAACAAAUGUGUAAGUAACUAUGCACGUCUUGACGGUACCUAAUCAGACAGCCACGGCUAACUACCUG
rnacentral:rRNA from 1 species